CAUUAAAUAACUAUUUAAGUAUUGGAUUUUUAAUCCAAAAAUAAUAUAUUAAUUAUAUUUUUAAUGA
rnacentral:tRNA from 1 species